CCUACGGGUGGCAGCAGUGAGGAAUAUUGGUCAAUGGACGAGAGUCUGAACCAGCCACGUAGCGUGAAGGAUGACUGCCCUAUGGGUUGUAAACUUCUUUUAUAUGGGAAUAAAAUGGUCCACGUGUGGGAUUUUGUAUGUACCAUAUGAAUAAGGAUAGGCUAACUCCGUGCCAGCAGCCGCGGUACUACGGAGGAUGCGAGCGUUAUCCGGAUUUAUUGGGUUUAAGGGGAACGUAGGGGGAUUGUUAAGUCAGAUGUGAAAGUUUGCGGCUCAACCGGAAAAUUGCAGUUGAAACUGGGAGUCUUGAGUACAGUAGAGGUGGGCGGAAUUCGUGGUGUAGCGGUGAAAUGCUUAGAUAUCACGAAGAACUCCGAUUGCGAAGGCAGCUCACUGGACUGCAACUGACACUGAGGCUCGAAAGUGUGGGUAUCAAACAGGAUUAGAUACCCGGGUAGUC
rnacentral:rRNA from 1 species